rnacentral:rRNA from 1 species
UCAGGAUGAACGCUAGCGACAGGCUAACACAUGCAAGUCGAGGGCGAGCAUAAAAGUAGCAAUACUUGGUGGCGACCGGCGCACGGGUGAGUAACGCGUAUGCAACCUACCUAUCAGAGGGGAAUAACCCGGCGAAAGUCGGACUAAUACCGCAUAAAACAGGGGCACCGCAUGGUGAUAUUUGUUAAAGAAAUUCGCUGAUAGAUGGGCAUGCGUUCCAUUAGGUAGUUGGUGAGGUAACGGCUCACCAAGCCGACGAUGGAUAGGGGAACUGAGAGGUUGGUCCCCCACACUGGUACUGAGACACGGACCAGACUCCUACGGGAGGCAGCAGUGAGGAAUAUUGGUCAAUGGACGAGAGUCUGAACCAGCCAAGUAAGCGUGAAGGAUGACUGCCCUAUGGGUUGUAAGCUUCUUUUAUAAGGGAAUAAAGUGAGGGACGUGUCCCUUUUUGUAUGUACCUUAUGAAUAAGGAUCGGCUAACUCCGUGCCAGCCGCCGC